GAUGAACGCUAGCGGCAGGCUUAACACAUGCAAGUCGAGGGGCAGCGAGAUCAGUGCUUGCACUGAUUGUCGGCGACCGGCGCACGGGUGCGUAACGCGUAUGCAACCUACCCAUUACAGGGGGAUAACACUGAGAAAUCGGUACUAAUACCCCAUAACAUCCAGGGAGGCAUCUUCUUGGGUUGAAAACUCCGGUGGUAAUGGAUGGGCAUGCGUUGUAUUAGUUAGUUGGUGGGGUAACGGCUCACCAAGACGACGAUACAUAGGGGGACUGAGAGGUUAACCCCCCACAUUGGUACUGAGACACGGACCAAACUCCUACGGGAGGCAGCAGUGAGGAAUAUUGGUCAAUGGACGCAAGUCUGAACCAGCCAUGCCGCGUGCAGGAAGACGGCUCUAUGAGUUGUAAACUGCUUUUGUACGAGGGUAAACUCGGAUACGUGUAUCCGUUUGAAAGUAUCGUACGAAUAAGGAUCGGCUAACUCCGUGCCAGCAGCCGCGGUAAUACGGAGGAUUCAAGCGUUAUCCGGAUUUAUUGGGUUUAAAGGGUGCGUAGGCGGUCGGAUAAGUUAGAGGUGAAAUCCCGAGGCUCAACUUCGGAAUUGCCUCUGAUACUGUUCGGCUAGAGAGUAGUUGCGGUAGGCGGAAUGUAUGGUGUAGCGGUGAAAUGCUUAGAGAUCAUACAGAACACCGAUUGCGAAGGCAGCUUACCAAGCUACUUCUGACGUUGAGGCACGAAAGCGUGGGGAGCAAACAGGAUUAGAUACCCUGGUAGUCCACGCAGUAAACGAUGAUAACUCGUUGUCGGCGAUACAUUGUCGGUGACUAAGCGAAAGCGAUAAGUUAUCCACCUGGGGAGUACGUUCGCAAGAAUGAAACUCAAAGGAAUUGACGGGGGCCCGCACAAGCGGAGGAACAUGUGGUUUAAUUCGAUGAUACGCGAGGAACCUUACCCGGGCUUGAAAGUUAGUGACGGAUCUUGAAAGAGGUCUUCCCUUCGGGGCACGAAACUAGGUGCUGCAUGGUUGUCGUCAGCUCGUGCCGUGAGGUGUCGGGUUAAGUCCCAUAACGAGCGCAACCCCUACCGUUAGUUGCCAGCAGGUCAAGCUGGGCACUCUGACGGGACUGCCGGUGUAAGCCGAGAGGAAGGUGGGGAUGACGUCAAAUCAGCACGGCCCUUACGUCCGGGGCUACACACGUGUUACAAUGGCAGGUACAGAGGGCAGCUACCCAGCGAUGGGAUGCGAAUCUCGAAAGCCUGUCUCAGUUCGGAUUGGAGGCUGAAACCCGCCUCCAUGAAGUUGGAUUCGCUAGUAAUCGCGCAUCAGCCAUGGCGCGGUGAAUACGUUCCCGGGCCUUGUACACACCGCCCGUCAAGCCAUGGAAGCUGGGGGUGCCUGAAGUUCGUGACCGGAAGGAGCGACCUAGGGCAAAACCGGUGACUGGGGCUAAGUCGUAACAAGGUAGCCGUACCGGAAGGUGCGGCUGGAACACCUCCUUUCUGGAGAGUGCGACUGUUUCUGAAGGCAGAUAGGUCUGCUUUCUUUUCUCUCGAAUUAACCCGUAAUUUUUAUUUGAUACCGAGUGGGGUCUUCCCGCGGAUAUAGUCCCGUAGCUCAGUUGGUUAGAGCACUACACUGAUAAUGUAGGGGUCUGCGGUUCAAGUCCGCACGGGACUACACCGAAACACUCGGGGGAUUAGCUCAGUUGGCUAGAGCACCUGCUUUGCAAGCAGGGGGUCAAGGGUUCGACUCCCUUAUCCUCCACUUAGGAUCGGGCAACCGAUUCAGUUCUUUGACAUGAUUAAGGUUAUGAGAUAAAGUCUUCAUACAUUUCAAUAGGGUGUAUGAAGAGUUGUAAGAAAGUAAAUAAGAGCGUAUGGGGGAUGCCUGGGCUCUUGGAGGCGACGAAGGACGUGGUAAGCUGCGAUAAGCCUCGGGGAUUCGCAAACUGGAAUCGAUCCGAGGAUUUCCGAAUGGGACAACCCGGCAGGUUGAUGACCUGUCACACAGUAAUGUGAGCCAACCCUCUGAACUGAAACAUCUUAGUAGGAGGAGGAAAAGAAAGAAACAUCGAUUUCCUGAGUAGCGGCGAGCGAAAGGGAAGUAGCCUAAACCGGUUUCGUUACGGCGUGACCGGGGUUGUAGGACUGCGUUAUUCGAGUGACUGCGAACUGGAACGUUCUGGAAAGUUCGGCCAUAGAGGGUGAAAGCCCCGUAUAGGUAAGUUCGUCAUAAGAUAGCAGUAUCCUGAGUAGGGCGGGACACGAGGAAUCCUGUCUGAAUCUGCCAGGACCACCUGGUAAGGCUAAAUACUCCCAAGAGACCGAUAGUGAACC
rnacentral:rRNA from 1 species